UGCCCAUUAAGCAAGAAGAUACUGAAGUGUAAGAAGUCCUGCAGAACUUACAGUCUACUUGUGGCUGAGAUGCAAUAAGCAAAUGACACAAGGAAGGAAGGUGGGAGGAACGGCAGGGAUAACAAAAACAGGAUUGCGUGGUUAUAUAGAUGAUGUAUGUGGGUAGACUGUGGUUCUGAAUCACAUGCAGAAGGGACACCACUGAAAUCCAAAGAGCUGACACAGCGUUGCUCAUCCUGGUAAAGCAAGGCUCCUGUGGACAGCAGAGGCAGACACCCGGAGCAGGGGCCUGGUAACACAUCUCAGGAGAGCUGCAGGAAGCUGGCGGUGAUUCCCCUGCCUCAUAAUGAUGCUGUGUGGGACCUGGGAAGAAAGGAAGGCUUCCAAAUCAAAUAGUAGCUUUCCAUGAAGUCUUUUGGGGGCCACUCCUGACAUGAAAGAGAAAGGAGGCAGAGUACCAAAUGACCUUUAGUUUUUUGGCUUGAGACUUGUGUUCCUGUUGCUGUCUUUAUGAGCUGAUGGAAUAAAGUCAAUGUUGCCUUUGAUGUGUGCCAAGAUACUAUCGGUGAUGUAUGCAGUAAUUCAUUCAGUGGGGAGUAGAUACUAGGCUAGGAACAAUUUCGCCCGUCUGCACUGUAACUGUAAAAUGGCAGCCACCUCACACUUCUGAUAUUUUACGUAUGGUGUUUUGUCAACAUUUGCCUAUGCAAUGCUUGCAUAAAGGUGGACUUAUCUUGAUGUGUGAAGCCAUUUGAAACCCUCAUCAGGAAGUUUUAUAUCCUUACAUAAUCCCUGGCUUCCAUGGCAAUCUUCGUUACUGAAACUCAUUCACUAAGAGACACAGCUGGUCAUGGCCCAUUAGGAGGAGCACGCAGGCACCGCAUCAGUUCCAAAGGGCUUUGUCACACCAGGUUUGAUAUGAGACAACGCACAGAGACAUGCUGUCAAACAAGGAAGAAGCAGAGGUGGAGGUGCAGACAGGAUCUCUUGAAGGAAGCGCAUGUGCUCCUGUAAUAUUUUACUCAAGCCUCUUGUAUCAAUAGGAGGGAAUGACCUUUUAACAAUGUCUCUCGUCUAGUUUCAUUCUCAUGGUCAAUGAAUCACACCACAAGCUUUGAUCGACUGAGUGUGAAAAUUACACCAUAAGGUCGUCUGUCUCUUUGAAAAAGCAGCUGUUCUUUUUUUUUUUUUUGUCUGUCUAAUUGAGUUUGUCCUGCUGAAAAGGACAUGGAUUUUCUUUCAUAUUUCAAAGUGAUGAGUUCUUUGCAUGAUUUCAGUAAACUUAGGGCAGGAAAAAGGCCUGCUUCUGCUUAUUGUUUCUUCAUUCUCAGAGGAAUUUUAGCAGGCUGUUUUCAUUAUCCAUGAGAUGCAACUGACACCAGGCUGCUUAAUGGCAUUCCUGCACCACCACGGUGCGUGACAGGGAGGGUGCUCUGUAGUCAAGCUACUGCUGUCAGGUUGGCACUAGCUUGGACUUCAGCAGAGGCAGCAUUUGAAUUCCCCUGGUGUACAGAGCACCUGUACAAGAGAGAAUUCUCCUGUUCAUAUUUCACUGACUAAAUGACAAACUGCUGACUAGUUUUCACAUUUCCCUAUGGUAACAUUCUGGGG
ensembl:lncRNA